AUGCCAUUAUGUCUGAAAUUGGGGAAAUUAUUGUCGAUAUGGACAAUAAUAAUAUCAUGGAAAAUUCUGAUGCUCCUGCUGAAGAACCCCCUAUCUUACAUACAAAAAAAAUUCCGAAUUGGUAGUGUUAAUAUUAUUGGAAAAGGAGUUAUCCAAGAUUUCUUUACUUGUGCCGGUGCUUUGCCUUCUAUGGGUAGUUCUAUUCUUCAUAGAACUAGUAGUCUUGCGGACGCUAUCGCCAUGCUUGUAAUUGAACUUGAAAGACAAUUCAUGCACAUGCAUCCUUGCAUACAAAUGAUUUUCCUAGAAUUUUCUAAUAUUGAGCAUUCUUCUGUUGAGCGUGCCGCUACUAUCUUUUUGGCUCAUGAGUUUAGAUUUAUAAUAAAAGAGGCCAAAGAAAUCUUUGCGCGUUAUAGGGUGGACGUUGUCAGUCCUCCCAUAGAGGCUAUUCUCUUUGAUCAAGAAAAAAAUGCAUUUUGA
rnacentral:rRNA from 1 species